AGUUGGUCGCCUGUAUUUAAAUAAAGUAAGGGAUAUUAUUAGUAUUCUGUGGUAAGGGAGGCGUGUAUUUUAGAUUUAGGCAAUCUUUAAUAUCUGACUCAAUGCGCAUGCGUACAUGUCAAAAUAAGAGAUCCUGUAAUAAAAGAUCGCUUAUUUGUGUGUUGCAAUAACUCUCUAAUAAUGACUUUUGGGUUGAUAAUUUGCAUAAGGGCCAUUUUGCAAUAUUUGAGCAUAAAGAGAGGGUGGCAUAUGUUGUCUGCUAGCCAUCAAGAGCGGCUUUUAUUUUUUCAUUGAACUGGAAUCUCAACUCGUAUAUUGGUAAAUUUUUCAUUUAUUGAAUAGUUUAUUUCAUUAUAAUAGACCUCCUUUCUCUAUGGC